GGUUCAGAUUGGUGAUGAGGAACAGGUAAUAGUGUAACUGACCAUUUUCCUUUGUAUCUUUCUUUUAUUUCCAGGUGUCACCACUUGGUCCAUGAGUGCAGAGUCUCCUCAAACAGUAAACCAGUUCUCUGAGAGCGGAAGAGAAACCUCCAGGUGAAUUCACAGAAACAACUGGAUCCACUGAAGGUGAAGGUGGAGGAGAAGAAGAUGGAGGCAGCUGAAGGUCUGGACCUGAGGAGGAGGAAAGAAAACACCACAGAUGAAGCUGUUCAGACAACAACAAUACACCCCUCCUGCAGGAUGAUGCUCCCCAACCCCUCCCUCCC